rnacentral:piRNA from 1 species
UGGAAAGACUCGUAUCGAGGUCAAGGAG